UACGGAGGGUGCAAGCGUUGUCCGGAUUCAUUGGGUUUAAAGGGUGCGCAGGCGGGACAUUAAGUCAGGGGUGAAAGACGGUUGCUCAACAAUCGCAGUGCCUUUGAUACUGGUGUUCUUGGGUGACCUUGAGGUAGGCGGAAUGGGUGGUGUAGCGGUGAAAUGCAUAGAUAUCGUUUGGAACGCCAAUGGUGAAAACAGGUCGCUGGGAGUGUGCUGACGCUGAGACACGAAAGCCAGGGGAGCGAACGGG
rnacentral:rRNA from 1 species